AGUCGUUGUAGAAAAUGAUCGUUUCGCGGUGGCCGAGGUCCGCCGGCUGCUUGUCGAGGACAAAGAUCGUCUCGUUGAACGACAG
rnacentral:tRNA from 1 species